rnacentral:misc_RNA from 1 species
AAUGUGCAUAGUCCGGGCAGCAGCAGCAGCGAGCCGAUGUGCCCACAACAGUCGCACAAUCAAGUCCAGCAGCCACAGUCACACACAUUGCAAGUCCCCGACAAGUCUCACUUCACGCAUCAAAAACGUGCCCUGGUUUAGCUUGUUCCGGUUUUGGCAACGCGUCUUUGGCCAAUGGUCAUAAGCCAGUCGAGUUAUUAAAUGUUGCUGAAAACGCAGUCAACAGAAUAUUAAACCCAAAAUCCAACUGUUUGUUUACCCUGUAAAAUUCAAGAAAAAUAGUACGCGUUUCUUUACUUAUUUGCAAGCCCACCAUUGGGCCAUUUCAAACUGGCACAUCAAUUUUGGUUUUCCUAUCCGCCACCUGGCGCUGGCGGCGGCUCCUCAACUCAGCUACAAAUUCUAGCAAGAUCGUAUAUGUAAAACUUGCCACACACACACACACGCACACACAUAAACAUUCAUAUACACACACACACACACAGACACACUGAAACACAUGUUAGCAUAGCUGCAAGUGUAUUUGUAUAUUCAGUGUUUCCUCGACUCGAAAGCAAAACAAAACAGAACGCUAAACAAACAACAACAGCAAUAAA